CACGUAGGGUGCGAGCGUUGUCCGGAAUUAUUGGGCGUAAAGAGCUCGUAGGCGGUGUGUCGCGUCGGCCGUGAAAACCUGCAGCUUAACUGUGGGCUUGCGGUCGAUACGGGCAUCACUGGAGUUCGGCAGGGGAGACUGGAAUUCCUGGUGUAGCGGUGAAAUGCGCAGAUAUCAGGAGGAACACCGGUGGCGAAGGCGGGUCUCUGGGCCGGUACUGACGCUGAGGCGCGAAAGCGUGGGGAGCAAACAGG
rnacentral:rRNA from 1 species